rnacentral:rRNA from 1 species
AGAGUUUGAUCAUGGCUCAGGAUGAACGCUAGCGGCAGGCCUAAUACAUGCAAGCCGAACGGUAACUUGAAUAGCAAUAUUUGAGCUAGAGUGGCGUAAGGGUGCGUAACACGUAUGCAAUCUGCCCGCAACAGGAGGAUAGCUCCCCGAAAGGGGAAUUAAUACUCCAUAAGAUCACGAGAGGGCAUCUGAUUGUGAUUAAACUACAAGGGGUUGCGGGUGAGCAUGCGGUUGAUUAGCUAGUUGGUAGUGUAACGGACUACCAAGGCAAUGAUCAAUAGGGGAACUGAGAGGUUUAUCCCCCACACUGGCACUGAGAUACGGGCCAGACUCCUACGGGAGGCAGCAGUAGGGAAUAUUGGACAAUGGGCGAGAGCCUGAUCCAGCCAUGCCGCGUGCAGGAAGAAGGCCUUCUGGGUUGUAAACUGCUUUUGCCAGGGGAUAAAAAGUCCCUGCGGGGAAAAUUGAAGGUACCUGGUGAAUAAGCCACGGCUAACUACGUGCCAGCAGCCGCGGUAAUACGUAGGUGGCAAGCGUUGUCCGGAUUUAUUGGGUUUAAAGGGUGCGUAGGCGGUUCAAUAAGUCAGUGGUGAAAUACGGCAGCUCAACUGUCGAGGUGCCAUUGAUACUGUUGGACUUGAGUACAGACGAGGUAGGCGGAAUUGACGGUGUAGCGGUGAAAUGCUUAGAUAUCGUCAAGAACACCGAUAGCGAAGGCAGCUUACUAGGCUGUAACUGACGCUGAGGCACGAAAGUGUGGGGAUCAAACAGGAUUAGAUACCCUAGUAGUCC